CUGUUUGGGGUCCUCCUGCUAAGGGAGGUUCAGAUGGGAAAUAAGGAAAAAUCUCUCCGUUACGAGGCAGUUGAGUGCUGGAACAGGCUGCUGGCAAGGCGGGUGAUGCCUUGUGCUUGGCAGCCAGGCUCAGAGGGGCCCUUCCCAGCUGAGCUGCUCCAUCCUGAGAUCCUUCAGUCCCAGUGCGUGCGCUCAGAGCACGGAAGGUGAACGCCUGGCAUCUGCAUCUGCUGGUGACCGCGUGGAUCGCAGGAUCACAGAAUCAUUGAGGUUGGAAGAGACCUCCAAGAUCAUCACUCCAACCCAUGCCCACUGAGCGUCCCUCAGUGCCACAUCUCCAUGGUUCUCCAUUGGGGCGAAGAGCUGCAGGACGCAGCGCGGGGCGGCAGUAAUCCCUCCUGGGAACGCUUCUCCGUGUCCCUCAGAGGACCUGUUCCUCAAUUCCCAUGGGAAAAUGGAACAGAAGGGGGAGGUGGCCGUCGCUGCCUAUUGAAGCAGCUCAGCCUCUGAUUACGCCAAGGUCUGCUGAUUAAAGCUUUGCUCGUUAACUUAAUUUUCCCCGCUUCGCUGACAGCCGAGCGGCUCGUGACGCAGCCAGUGUCGUUUCCAGCACCAAUUUGGGGCGUUUGCAGUCAACCUGGGAGCUUGCAGCAUGCAACCAAGUUGGACUCGUUGAUCCUCAUGGACCCCUUCCAGCUUGUGAUGUUCUGAGAUGCUGAGCAGGGAAGCUUUUCCAUCUCAAAUAUCCAAAUAUGUUUUAGAUUCUCCUCUCUUGUUUUAUUACUGGGUUGGAUUUUUUUUUUAUUGGGUGCUGGGGCACAGAUUUGGCUCGAGGGCCCUGGAAUCAUAAAAUCAUUAAGGUUGAAGAAGACCUCCAAGAUCAUCAAGUCCAUCUGUUGACCCAUCACCACCAUGCCCACUACUCACGUCCCCAGGUGCCACAUCUACAUGUUUCUUCAAUCCUUUUUGUUAUUAUUUUAUGUUCCUACCCUUCCUUUCUCCACCACUCCAUGAAGCUUGAAGCAAUUUUCCAUCUCUCUCCCAAGUUGUCAUCCCUUAUUCUUGUGCCCAAGCAAUGCAAUGCUGUGGCUCAGAAUUGGAAUCUCUCUUCUUUUUUGUCCUAAAGCUGCUGUCAGAAGCAAGCAGCAGCGCAGCAGAUGGCAGCGUACCAGUAUUAAAUGGUUCUGAGACUGUAGGCUGCUGCUGCUGGCGGCACAGUGCGUGGUGUAUGGGCAAAGCAUUCUGCCAGCAGAGAUUUUUGGCAUGUUCUCAAAGGAUUGGUCAGCCUGCCCAGGGCAAUGCAUAUACGACAUGGGUUUAGGCUUGCAAGGGAAUGGCUAUAAUAAGAUUAUCAUUAUUUUUUUUCCCUUGUAGCAUUUCUCUUCUGGCUGAGCGUGUUUGUGGAGGGCUGGCGUGGGAUGUGCAGAGCCUUUGCUGUGAGUCAAAUGGGUCAAAUGACCAGGGGUCUCCCUGGCCUCUUAGGUCCCUUCCAACUGAUCCAUUCUGAGUUCUUCAAGGUCCCUUCCAACCAAUCCAUUCUGAGUCCUUCAAGGUCCCUUCCAACCCAUCCAUUCUGAGUCCUUCAAGGUCCCUUCCAACCCAUCCAUUCUGAGACCUUCAGGAUCCCUUCUAACCCAUCCUGAGACCUUCAGGAUCCCUUCCAACCCAACCAUUCUGAGUCCUUCAAGGUCCCUUCCAACCCAUCCAUUCUGAGUCCUUCAGGAUCCCUUCCAACCCAACCAUUCUGAGUUCUUCAAGGUCCCUUCCAACCCAUCCAUUCUGAGUCCUUCAGGAUCCCUUCUAACCCAUCUUGAGACCUUCAGGAUCCCUUCCAACCCAACCAUUCUGAGUCCUUCAAGGUCCCUUCCAACCCAUCCAUUCUGAGUCCUUCAGGGUCCCUUCCAACCCAUCCAUCUUUGACUCUGGGAUUCUGGCAUUCCAUAACCCAAAUGAUGAUGUGGUCAGUUAAAGUCAACGCAGGCUUGCUGCGAUGCUGCCUUUCUCACUCUCCUGCCCUGUUUCCUCUUGCCUCCUCUCCAAGUUUGAUUUGAACAGAAAUGUAUCAUCCCAGUCAUUCUGUCAGCCAAUAUUCGAAUGCUCGUGCCAGCUGCAAUUUUGCCUUUUAAAGACAAUCUCAAGCUGCAUGCUCCAUGGCAGAGCCAUGUGCCAUGUUCAGAGUACACUCCUUUCUCCUGGAGGAUCCUGCAGCUUUACCCAGCCCUGAUGUUUUACUGUUCAGAGAGCUCCAUGUCCCCGGAGCACUGCAAACCUCGUGGGGAAAAUCAUUUGUUUUAAAAAUGAAUUUUUCUCUGAUGAUAAAAUCUAGCAGCAGGAUCUCAUAAACAGCCUGAUUGGAUCAGAUCUGCAUCUGAAGCAUCGCUGGAGUGCUGCUGGGUAGUGCAGAUAUCUGCACACUCUGGGUAUUCCUCACUUCAAAAGAAGUAGUUCAAGAGAGUGGAAAACAUUUCGAGAAACACUUUGAUAAUGCCCUCAGGAAUGUGCUUUAAUGUUUGGUUGUCCCUGCUGGGAGCAGGCAGUUGCCCCUGAUGAGUUUGUGGGUCCCUUUUGAGUCAUUCUUCUCUUCAUUCCAUUCUAUUCUGUUUUUCUCCAUUCUCCUCCUUCUCUUUCUCCUUCCUUCUUCUCCAUUCUCCUCCUCCGUUCUCCUUCUCCUCCUCCAUCCUUCUUCUCCUUCUCCUCCUCCAUUCUCUUCCAUUCCAGACACCAGCAGGUCCAUGAGCCCUGGGAAGAUGUUUCUUGCCACAAAGCCCCAGCCUUCAGUCUCUGCAAACGCUUUUGGUUAAAAGCUCACAACUACUCCAAAGCUGGGCUGUGUUGAAGGCAGAGGGUGGGACACAGGCAGCAAUGCAGCGAGCUAAUGAGAAAAUGAGACUUGAGCUCAACUUUUAAGAGCUGGGUGGCUCCGCUAAAAGCUGCAUCUGUUUUGGUGUUGACUUGACAAAAAGCCUUGAAUUGGAGAGUUCAUCAUUUUCUGUCCCCUUGGGAAGGAGAUCUCUGAGCACCAGGAGCUGGGAGCAGCCCGACGUUUAUUAACUUGUCGAACUCACUCUUGCAAGUUAGCCUGAAGCUGGGCAGACCUCUAAUUCACUCCGCUCCCCGUCGUUUUAUUUGCAGCAGGAGGCUCGAAUGCUUUUUCCUUGGGCUCUCGCUCCCCCUUGUGACCAUGUGUGGCUUUUGCAGCCCAUCGCAUGCGUUAAACUCUCACUAUCUUCAUUCUCGGAGCAGCCUGUCGUGCUGCUGAGUGCAGCCUCGUCCCCACACUUCUGGUGCCGCAGCAGGAACUGAGCCAUUAAAUUCCACCCGACUUUUCAGCGGAGGACCUGGUGUGCAAAUAGUCUUAAAGGACGACGUUGUUCUGCUCGUUCCAUCCAGAAUUGCUAAUUCUCCUUCUCCAGUGAAACCUUUGCUCAUGUUUUUGGUGACCAUGAAGACUUGGGACUCUUCUCUGCUUUGAAAUAUACUGCGAAGAAAGAGUUGCCUUGGUUCCCUGAGCCUGGUGCUCACCUCAUCUCUCUGAAUUGGGAAUUUUAAAGCUUUUCCUAAACUUUUCUUGUCCCUUGAAUCGAUGGCAGCCAGGCUACACAGUUUUUUUGUGGUGUUUUUGUUGUUGGUGUUUUUGUUUUUUGCCAGUGAAAGGUGUAGAAUAGAACAGCUCCACUGGAAGGGACCUACAGAGAUCAUUGAGUCCAACUGCCUGACAGCCUCAGCAGUUCUAAGGACAGGAUUAGAGAUGGGUCAGUGUUUGGACACGAUGAUCUCAGAGGUCUUUUCCAACCUUAAUGAUUCAGUGAUUCUCUUGAACACUGAUGUGGGCAGGCUGGAAUACAUGACCCAGUCUUGAUGCAGACGUGCAAUGGGACAGCAAUCCUUGGUGCAGACGUGCAACUGCAUGGUGGUCCUUGAUGCAGGUGUGCACAGGUCGAUGGUCCUUGGUGCAAAUGGCUGCAGGAUGAUGAGGUCCAGCAGGACUGGACCCUAUGCAGUCAACUCACCCAACUUCUGCUAAAGACUCGUAUCCCAUUUGUUGACCCAUACUCCUGUUUUGUUGACAGGGACAGCCAAGUGUCCUCGUUCUUUAUUUAAGUAUUUGGAAGGCUAAGAAGAGCAUGGGAGAGAGAACCUGGAGUGUCAGCAUGGCUUGUAAGUCAGCAGCUCUUCCUCCUUAUGGUAACGGUGCUGGCAAACGAUGGGAGUGAGUUGCUGCAGUUCACCAGGGAAUCCUGCAAGAGCAAAUCCUGUAGGUUUGGAAAAUCUCAGCUACUUGUCCCUCGGGGCAGCAGCAGGCAGGCUUCGUGCAUUUUUGCUGGUAAGGUAUUUUGUGUGUUGCUUGGAGCUGAGGAUAAAAUAGCCCAAAGCUGGAAGCAGUGCUGAACAGAAGCUGCUUUCACUCAGGAAGGAGGAGCGUGCCAGCAGGGCGAAAAUCUCACCAAAACCCAACAAACUUUCCCCAGUUUCUGUUCACGGAGGUGAUUCACACAAAAUCCAUCUGUUUUGCAGUGAAAAGAGGAAAAGAGGAGGAAAAUAAGGUGUGUUAACACUGGAUUUUUCUGCCUGCUAGCAGCAGAGGGAGCUGCAGCUGAGUCAGCCAGCUCCACCUCUGCUUUUCUGAGCAACACACAAGUCCUUUAAGACUAUUUCUGAUUCUUCAUAAAGCCAUGGAAUUACACAGUCUAUUGGCAACCAUAUUGAGUUUAAAUCCAGUAAUAGAGGCAUCUGGGUGGCUGCAGCUGUAGAAAUGAUUGUAUUGGGGGCAGAAAUGAGGAACCCAGCAAACUCCUGGAGCUGGGCACGGGGCUGACACUGAUGGAGCUGGGGAAUGGCAGCUGCUGCACUGCUGCUUUCCAUAUGCCAGCAUGGAUGGUGAGUUACUUACCGUGCUAUUUUCAUUCCCACAUCACUGUCUGAUGGCUGCUGUAGGGAACUGGAAGUCUCAAGAGGAGUUGGGCAUGCUCGGGUCUCACUGAUCUGCUUUUGGACACAGUGGUUUUGGGAUGCAGUGAUAGUGCCAUUGGGUUCCAGUAACACUGGGAUAUGGUGACAGUGGUAUAUGGUGAUGUUGGGUACAGUGGCACUGAGAUAGAGGGAUAUGAUGAUGUUGUGAUGUGGUUGUGUUGGGAUGUGGUGACACUGGGAUGCGGUGACAUGGUGGGAGGAUGGCGUUGGGAUACGGUGGUGUAGGGAUACAGAGAAAUAGAGAUAAAAAGGCACUGAGGUACAGUGGCAUUGGGAUAUGAUGACACUGGGACAUGGUGGCAUUGGGAAACAGCAGUGCUGGGAUACAGUGACGUCGGGACACGAUGGCACACAGCCAGCAGGAGAGUCAAUGAAAUUCAAGAUCUCCUGGACAUGCUCCACUGCCAGGACCCUUCUCCAGCAUCAGCUUCCAAACUGCCGGUGACUGAUGACACAGGACAUGGUCCCUGCCCAGUUUCAUGGCUGCUUUGCAUUAAGAGCUAAUUUUAUACCAAUUUGGGACUGGUGGGGAGGAGGAGGAGUGGGAGAAAACACGGCACGUUUCAGGGGACUCAGUGUUUCAUCAGCUAAGAGAUCAGCAUAGCAAUUAUUAUCUCUUUAACUAUUUCAAUUCUCAUUAUCAAAUUAAUUCUUCAAUCAGAUUCUGACAUUGCCAUAGCACCUGUGACACUGCAGCCACGGCUCAGGGCAGCGUGUGCUUCGUGUCGGUAGCAGAGAGGGCUGGAAACAGGAAAACAUGCUUUUCUCUGCUUGGUUUCUCUGAUGGAAAGAAUUCCCCAAGCAGCUGAAAAUACAUCGACCUUGCUCCAAAAACCAGGCAGGGCUGGGAGGCAGAAGGCGUGCAUCUGGAGCUCAACUCGACGUUGUCCACGGGACUCAUUUUCCUAGGUUUCCACUCAUCUCUUUCUAUUUUUGGAGUCGUUCCUCUCGGUAUUUCUUCUAAAAAUACUGAGGUCACCAGAAUAAGAAGUUUAUAUGCUCACACAAAGCUAUUCUUAGUGCUUGAUCUUUGUCUACAAGUGCAACCCAUGCGUGGAGGUUGGCUCCGAACUCAUCGUUCGUCUCCAUGUCCCACGUCGGGUGCCCUCAGCGGAGCUUCCUGAGGCUCUGUGGAUUUCACAGCUUCUUUCUGUAAGACCACGCUUCACCAUUCAGCGCCUUGUUCCUUUUCUGUGAUCUUUUUUAGCUUUUCACCCAUAUGGCGUGCACAUCAGCAACAAAGAAAUGAGCUUUCGUAGAAUAGAAUAUCUUGAGUUGGAAGAGACCCGUGAGGAUCAUCGAGUCCAGCUCCUGACAACGUCGUGUUGGUAGUGAUGAACUUUGCAUCACGUGCAGCUUUGCUUAUUGCUUCAAAUUUGGUGGGGUUUUUUGGUGCUGAUCGGUACCUUGCAAAGAGCAGAGCAACAGAUCUGUCCCGCUCUGUGAUCUUCCUCUUUAGGAGCCCUGGAUCCUGGUGCUGUUGAAUUUGGUGCGCUGAGAUGAGCGCCACAUGAUGACUUCAUUGAAAUUCUGAAUUUAAGUUCUGAGCAGAGUUUGUGAUCCUGAUUUUAACUCAACUGAUUUGAAUUCUGUGUGCUUUCUCGGGUCAGUGUGGAAGCGAACAAUCACGCUUUAAAUAAUGAUUAGCCUAAGCCUCAGAA